UCAUACUGAGGAAACUGUAUUUGCUGUCAGAAAUGCUCAGUGAUCCUCAGAGCAGAGAGAGGUAUUGCUGUCUUCUGAGUUCUUCAGUGUCCCAACUGAGACAUUCAACCUCAUCACAGAGCUCCUGUCUUUCCUCACCAUCAUGUGAGUGUGAGAUGCUCUGGAUUCUGGUUAUGUGGCCUGCAGCACCUAUAAGAACAAGCUCGUACAGUGUGCCUGCAUUCCAGCUUCUUAGACUCUACGCAAGUGGACAGAGUAUCAGUGUUUGGCCACCCUUACAGACACCGACUUCUGUCAACUCACUGCUACUGAUCAGGCACCUCACUCCAGGAAGACAGA